CUGUAACGCUCACUGCGAAGGUCUGUGGCUUCACUCCUGAAGUCAGCAAGACCACGAACCCACCGGAAGGAGGAAACAACUCCGGAAGCACCACGUUUAAGAGCUGUAACACUCACUGCGAAAGUCUGCAGCUUCACUCCUGAAGUCAGCAAGACCACAAACCCACCGGAAGGAAGAAAUUCCAGACACAUCUAAACAUUGGAAGGAACAAACUCCAGACACACUAUCUUUAAGAACUGUAACACUCACCGCGAGGGUCUGUGGCUUCAUGCUUGAAGUCAGCCGGACCAAGAACCCACCGGAAAGAACCAAUUCCUGACACAAUCGUUCUUCAUGGUCUAUGACUCCAAGGUCUGAAAUGAUCUCAUUUACCCCACAUGAUAGAUGUGGCCCUUCCAGAUGAGGAGUUCAACAAGACUACAUGGUAGAGCAGCCAGAGAACCCACUGGAAAUAAGGCUCAAAAUAAGGAGUAACCACAAAAUAAGAGACAGAGAAUGCUGAUUCACUAUGCAGUGAAACAUGCCUAACGUGUCAACAGCUAAAUGCCCGGUGACAGUGUGGUUGUCUGGGCAACAGAAGAAGUCACCCACGCAAACACUUAAAGGACCAUACUUAUUUUACAAGAGGAACAGUUUUCAAUGGAAUGGAUAUUAAAACACACACCUGGAUCCCUUUACCACAGGUGCUUUGAGAGGCACCAUCAAGGACAGUGAGCUAACGCAGGAGAAUGGAGUCCCAGAAACCUAGGAGGAGAAGACAAAGUGUCAGCCUCUCGGCAUCUGCAGUGUUGCUAGGAAAAGAGCUCUGAUCCCAGGGGCUUACCCACUUCCACAGGUAGGAAGCGUCCCUGAGAGGACUGGAACAUUAGCAUAUCUCAGAUCCAUCUGCAAAACUUUUGCAAACACGGAACUCCCUCGUUCUAAUCUUAUCAGCAACUUCCAGAGCUGAACCUUGAUUAAUCUGGAUACAAAAAGGAUUGAAACGCCACAUAAUAAGCAUUAACAGGAGGGUGUUUCCUUUAUCAAUGAAGCUUGAUUUAUCCAUGAUGAUCUAGUGCAUUCUCCUCCCAAAAAUCAGGAUCAUCCUCUGCAUAUGAAGGAACAGACAAGCCCUCAGCUCUACCACUUUGGAGAGGGGGGGAUUGGACAGCAUGAGCCUUCAAUUGUAUCUCUUGGAUGACCAAGGAAGGCUGGAUUUCUGCACCUAAAAAAUGGAAGCACAAACUGUACAACAAAUACUCUCCAUUCAAGUUGAAGUUCUCAAAUAAGUUCCGUGAAAAAGUUGGUUCAAAUCAUUCAGCCUGGCAUUACUGGAAAUCUCUAACAAGAUUUACAGCGGUGCCACCCCAAUGAAUUCCACCACACUGAAUUCAUUGUUCAUUGAGAGAGAUUAGAAAAUGAAGAUACCAUGCCCCUUGGCUUCCCUGCUAAAGGAGACACUGGGAAAGGAGAGGAAUCUGACACUUUGGGGGUGCGACCCAGCAAUCUGCACUCUGUCAAACUCGUGAGGUGAUGCCCAUGCAUGCACAACUUGGAGCACAUCGUCUGACCUCAGGUAAUCACGGUGAUCCCAGCUGCAUUCAUUUCUUGGGGCUGCCAGAACAAACUACCGCAGACGGAACGGCUUCAGAAGAAAUAUGUAUUCUUUCCCAGUUGUGGAGGCCGGAAGUCUGAGAUCAAGAUGUUGGCAGAACUGGUUUCUUGUGAGACUGAGGGAAGGAUCUGUUCCAGGCUUCUCUUCUUGGCUUGUAGAUGGCCAUCUUAUCCCGGUGUCUCUUCUCAUUGUCUUCCUUUAAGUGUGCCUGGGUCCAGGUUUUUCCAUUUCAUAAGGACACGGUCACAAUAGAUUAGUGCCUACAUUCAUGAUUUUUUUCUUAACUAAUUACAUCCACAACAAUCUAUUUCUAAAUAAGGUCACACUGGGGGUUAGGACUUCACUGCAACUUUGAGGGGACACAUUUCAACCCAUAAUGCCAUCCCAUGCCAGUGGGAAGCUUAAGGACCAGGCAAAUGCUUAGCAGAGCGUGGCUUUCCCUGAGUCUACGGUUCUUGGCUGGGCAAGUGACUUAGCUACUUAGCUUGCACCUGGCAGGUGUUGACUAAAGGCAUGCUCACUUUUCCCUCUGCACGUGAAGGAAUAAAAACAAUACUGGGAAUUCUACAACUUGUUUGGUAUGUAGUGGUGAGUCUGACAUUGUGUGGAGCAAGGCUGGAAGUCACCAAAACCUGACUCUUUAAAAAUCUCUAAGUUCCUGGACCAGUAGUUUUCAAACCGCUCAUGCCCUCUGGACUUGCGAUUAAUGCCCUAAGAGUCUCUAUUUUAUACAACAGCUUGAGCUGGGGUCUUAGGAAUCUGCCACUGAAAUUUGCUGCACACACUUAUAUAGAUAUAGGUAUUUUUGAACUUGUAUCAUGCCAACAUAUUCUUUUUUAGCUUGAUUUUAUUUUUUAUUUAGCAAUAUAUUAUAUGCUGAGACCAGCUCGG
rnacentral:lncRNA from 1 species